rnacentral:misc_RNA from 1 species
AUAUAACUGAUCAAAUCAUAUACAAACCCUUCUGUUAAGAGGAAUAGACAAUAUACAAACUUUAAAAACCAAUUUCAGACAAAUCAUAGCAUAAUACAGCUUAUAACAACUAAAAUUAAAAUGAUAUGCUAGCUCGGCACUCAAAUUAUUCCCAAAACGAUGCUUCUGUGAUUCCAAUAUUACCAAGUUCUUAAUUAGUUGAUCAAAAAUCAAUGGAAAUGCCCAGCAGAAAAGACAAAAAGGAUUCACGAAGCUGAUUCUAACUAGCUUGGGACUGAGGAUUAGUCGAGUUGAAUAAAACCAAUAACACAGCAAAAUUCCCAUCAAUGAAUAACAAUUGCUAGCAUAAUCCAAUCAAUUCACACCCACAAAAGGGCAGGGGAGGG